AGAGUUUGAUCCUGGCUCAGAAUGAACGCUGGCGGCGUGCUUAACACAUGCAAGUCGCACGAGAACGCUUCAGCUUGCUGAAGCUAGUAAAGUGGCGUACGGGUGAGUAACGCGUGGGUAAUCUAUCUCUGAAUUGGGGAUAACAUUGCGAAAGCGAUGCUAAUACCGGAUAACAUCCAUUAGACCUCGGUUUUUUGGAUCAAAGGUGGCCUCUACAUGUAAGCUACUGUUUGGAGACGAGCCCGCGUACCAUUAGCUUGUUGGUAGGGUAACGGCUUACCAAGGCAACGAUGGUUAGCUGGUCUGAGAGGAUGAUCAGCCACACUGGAACUGACACACGGUCCAGACUCCUACGGGAGGCAGCAGUGAGGAAUUUUGCGCAAUGGGGGAAACCCUGACGCAGCAACGCCGCGUGAGUGAUGAAGGCUUUCGGGUCGUAAAGCUCUGUCAAGUGGGAAGAACCCGCGCCGCACAAAUAGUGCGGUGCGCUGACGGUACCACUGAAGGAAGCACCGGCUAACUCCGUGCCAGCAGCCGCGGUAAUACGGGGGGUGCAAGCGUUAUUCGGAAUCAUUGGGCGUAAAGAGCGCGUAGGCGGUCUUCUAUGUCAGGUGUGAAAGCCCGGGGCUCAACCCCGGAAGUGCACUUGAAACUGGGAGACUUGAGUAUGGGAGAGGGAAGUGGAAUUCCUGGUGUAGCGGUGAAAUGCGUAGAUAUCAGGAGGAACACCGGUGGCGAAGGCGACUUCCCGGACCAAUACUGACGCUGAGGCGCGAAGGCGUGGGGAGCAAACAGGAUUAGAUACCCUAGUAGUCC
rnacentral:rRNA from 1 species